CCAUGCAAACUGGAGUUGUUUCAUGGAUUUGUCAACAAUGGGACAUCAGCAGUGCUGCUUUCCGCUUAUUUUUGUGUUCGUCCGUCAUAGACCAUUUAACGGUGGCAGAGGGAGGAGGAAGAGGAGGAGGGGGAGAAAAUUGGCUCGCGUGAUUGAAAGAUCUGACGCGCAAUAAUGUGACCGCGUUAAAAAACAAACCAAAGCUUUAACUUUGCUAACGCGAACUCUGCUGACAGCUGCAGAAUGAAAACGACAACAGCUAAGUUAACGGAAUCUUCCUUCAAGUUCAUGAAUGUAUUGACUUCUAUAUAUAUAUUUAUAGAAACUGUUUAAUUGUGCAUGCGUAGUUUAUUUUUAAUCCCCACAGUUUAUUUUAGCGUAGAGUCCGUGCAUGUAACUCUCCUUGAAAGGAUACGUUAGACAUGUUUUUUAUUAUUGAUAUUUUUGCUUGCUCUGUUCAUUCGGUGCUGGAAUUGCAUGCCUCGGUGCUCCGAGCUUUAAAGCCCGGUCGCGUAAAUCCAAGCAGCGAAUGCAAAGCAUGAAUUCCAGUCUAUUUAUUCCCGCAGGAUUUAGCCGAGGUGGGAAGAAUAUUGAAGAAGCGGCAGCAGCGACGAUGAAUGGGACGAAUGCAGAAUUUCCUUCAGAGUUUGGAAGAGCGAGCAAAAGAGCAGCCCCAUUCAGUUUGGCUCCCCCCAACACACUGCAGCGAUGUGCCUCCGCCUAGCUCUGAAAGGGAUCUGCUUGUGCCUGCAUGGCUCGUCCACCCUGCCCAAAAGUUGGAUAAUUUAUGGGCCUGAGGGAGAUUAUAAAGAUGGAUCUUUGAGGCAAUCAAUUCUCAUGUUGCGUUUUGAAUGGUGGGAUAGAAAUGAAGUGCAGAAUAAUUAAAAAGAUCACAAGUCCCCCUUCGCAUGUAAUAAUGAGUAGCUCCAGAGGCAGUGGGCUCUGCCACAGUGCCGGAGGAAGCGCCUUUGAUUUGACUAAGAGGACACCCGGCCUGGUCCAACACUCUGCUGCACAAAAGGGGGGAUUUCACCCACCGCCACACACUGAGCCAGCCUUGAGGACUGUGUGCUUGUCCACCAGCGAGAUCAUAAGCAGAUACUGUUGUCACAGGAAGUGGCGGGGGGGGGGGAUUGUUGCUUGGAUGUCAGAGUUGGCAUGAAAAGUGAUGGAGGCGGCUGUUUGGAAUAUGUUUCACAAUGCUCAGUGUUAUGGGAUUUUAAAAUAAAAUCCAUGCGCCCUUUGCAUAUGAAUUCGUGUCAAAAUGUACCAUCAGCCCUCUGCAUGCACAACUGUGAGUUGUUGUGUCCUGAUGUAGUCAAAUACAGCCUUUUUUAUACUUCUGAAUGCAUUAGGCCAAAUGUGAGACUUGUGUUUGUUGGUUGGCUUUUGGAAAAUAACAAGUUUCUGAGGAAAUGUCUCGGUCCAGUCAGGCUUUGUUGCAUGAGUACACUCAAAGAUUGAUAGAGGCUCAAUUUUUACACGCACACACCACAGCUUCUCAAUAUGAUCACAAAAUAAGGCAUAAAGGACACUGUUAUGAGCUUGGGAGGGUAUCUUAGAAACAGAUGUCUGCGUGUGUGGCUGCUUUUCUCUGCUGUAUAGGGGGAAAUGUAAUGACACCUGGCAGCAGGCUCACACUGAAUAUCAUUUUUCUGGUCACUUGGUCAACUCAAUGUUGGCGAACUGCACACACUUUGAGAGUAGAACACAGCUGCAGGCAGCAGUUAGAGUAGAUUUUCCUUGUAAAAAGGUGUUAACAUGUGUUAAGUGAUAACCUUGCAUAGUUCUUUUAUGUAGUCGAGAUCAAGUGUACGUGCAGGACUCGUGAUUCAUCCUCCUGAUGGUUCUGAAAAAUGCAUUUUUGGUGUGGAGUUUUCUAAUGCACUGAACAAAUAGAAUACCAGUGUGGCAAAUCUCAACGAAUGAGCUAGGGCAUGAUGAUAAAUUUGCAAUGUUAAUAUCUGGAAGCAUUGGGGAUGAUUGAGUGUUGCUGGGCAGCUACAGUUGUUUACUUAAAAAGAUCAAUGGACACAGUUUUUGUUCUUGAGCCAAUAUAAAAAGUGACAGAAUGUAACAGAAAAUGUGAAAAAUUCCGACAACGUUCAGGAGAUGUGGGUCAAAACUGCUUUUUUUUUUUUACAUUUCUUUUUGACACAUUGAGAGUCCAGAUUCAAGAUUUUAAACCUUUUGAUCAGUACUUGUGUAGUAUUGGUGGUAUUACCAUAUUGAUAAAUGAUGUACGUAGCUUCAAAAUCAUGUGUUUGAGUGUUUGUGCAAUUUGUGCAUGUAACAGGGCGGCCCUUAGCGGCUGGAAACACAGUGAGAUGGACCAAGGCAAUUGUAGUGGAACAAAGUAAUUAUUUGCUAUACAGCUCGCCUUACAACAAUUCAUUUGUCGAGCUUCUUCACAGCACAAAAGUCCACCUCUAAUGACAACUGGCAGCCUUAAAUAUGUUCAGCUGUCACAGACUUAACCAUUAUUCCACUCUCAGGUAAAUUCUUAAAUCCCAACCUUCCACCACAGUAUACAAUAUAUCAAUAAGAAUAAAUAAAUAAAUAAAUACAUUUUCACAUUUACAUAUUAAUAAAUAUUUCACACUUUAAUGUUACACCAAACCCAAUAUUAUAAAAACCCAGAAACCCAAGCACAAAAAGAUUCACCACACUCUCUUUACCAAUGGUCUCUCCCGGAACCUUUAAAUGGUGUCUGGACCCCCCAGGAAACAUUUGCCCAAACACCUUGAAGAGGACACAGGCAAAAAAGGUGAGUAAUCAUUAUCUUACAAACACUUAUUUGCACCACUUUCAUCCCUAGAUUUCACACACACAUUUGCAUUAGUUUUCCUUACUGGUAAACCUUAAUCACAAUCUCAAUCACCAUUCUUCUCUCCUGACAGACAACCACCACAUUCCUUGAUGAGGAGCAGCUGUGCAGGAUCUGAAAUAAGGCUACCAACUGAUUUUAAAAUUCCCAAUAAAUGGUCAAUAAAUAUUUAAACUUGUGUGCAAAUCCAUGCUUAAAGUGCAAUGCUAAAUAAAGUGCUUGAUAAGGUGCUUUUAACAAAGUGAAAGGUGUGCUCUAAAGUGCUAUACAGAUAAUAUAAAUAAAUGCAGUAAGGGAGUCCUCUUCCUUACAGUGA